UAAGCGGAGGGAAAAGAAACCAACAGGGAUUGCCCUAGUAACGGCGAGUGAAGCGGCAAAAGCUCAAAUUUGAAAUCUGGCAUCUUUGGUGUCCGAAUUGUAAUUUGGAGAGGCAACUUCAGGCAGGACCCAGUCUAUGUUCCUUGGAACAGGACGUCAUAGAGGGUGAGAAUCCCGUUCUUUGACUGGCUGUUCCUGCUAGUAUGUAGUGCCUUCUACGAGUCGAGUUGUUUGGGAAUGCAGCUCAAAAUGGGUGGUAAAUUUCAUCUAAAGCUAAAUAUUGGCGAGAGACCGAUAGCGCACAAGUAGAGUGAUCGAAAGAUGAAAAGCACUUUGAAAAUAGAGUCAAAAAGUACGUGAAAUUGUUGAAAGGGAAGCGCUUGAGACCAGACUCAGCCUUUGGCAAACAAGUGUCCUUCUGGACAGUGCACUUGCCUCGGGUUGGGCCAGUAUCAGUUAGGAUGGUAGGAGAAAGGCUAGGGGAAUGUGACUCCUAUUUGGAGUGUUAUAGAUCCUGGUGUCAUGCUACCCGUCCUGACUGUGGACCGCGCAUUAGCUAGGAUACUGGCGUAAUGGUCUUCAGCGACCCGUCUUGAAACACGGACCAAGGAGUCUAACAUCUAUGCAAGUGUUUGGGCUACACACCCUCACGCGUAAUGAAAGUGAACGGAGGUGGGAAUUCCGCAAGGAAUGCACCAUCGACCGAUCCUGAUGUCUUCGGAUGGAUUUGAGUAGGAGCAUAGCUGUUGGGACCCGAAAGAUGGUGAACUAUGCCUGAAUAGGGUGAAGCCAGAGGAAACUCUGGUGGAGGCUCCGC
rnacentral:rRNA from 1 species